GUGUCGCUGCUAAAGGGCACCCCGCCGUCCCCCCACCAAUUACGAUGUACUCGUACUCGUAGUAUGACACGCUUGGAGCUGAGCUUGCAUUCUUCAUAAACAAAACAAAGAAAAAGAAGUGUGUCAUUACGUACCUCUCUGUGAAGCACCAUGUUUAGGAGAGAAGAGAAUCCCAGCAAGAGAAACCAGUAUCAGCCUCCACCACCAUAUUCCCAUUACUGUCACACCACAGCACAGCUAAACUUCAAGCGAUGGUUUGUGAUUCCAAGUUGGUUUGGUUUAUUGUUCUGCUCAUUCAUACCAACCUAUAAAGCCAAAAGCUCAACGGAACCCGCGGCUAUAAGUUUGACUAACGUAAAGACCACUUUCAGUUUUUGUCGCACAAACCAAGACCAAUACUCCCUCCGUGUGAUGUUGUCAUGUGUAGAACCCGUGGGGCCCACAAUGAUUCAAGAAAAUGCACACUCUGUGAUUUGCUUAUCGCGCUCACAAUAUCUUUUGCCUCGCCCAAUUUAUUGCACCAACCUAUCUCAGUAAGGAAAUUUGUAUAUAUUUCUUAAUUGAAAGAAGGAAAAAGUGUUAUAAUCUUUA